rnacentral:rRNA from 1 species
CUGAUCGGCCACAUUGGGACUGAGACCCGGCCCAAAUUCCUACGGGAGGCUGCAGUAGGGAAUCUUCCACAAUGGGCGAAAGCCUGAUGGAGCAACGCCGCGUGUGUGAUGAAGGCUUUCGGGUCGUAAAGCACUGUUGUAUGGGAAGAAAAGUUAAGGUAGGGAAUGACCUUAGCCUGACGGUACCAUACCAGAAAGGGACGGCUAAAUACGUGCCAGCAGCCGCGGUAAUACGUAUGUCCCGAGCGUUAUCCGGAUUUAUUGGGCGUAAAGCGAGCGCAGACGGUUGGUUAAGUCUGAUGUGAAAGCCCGGAGCUCAACUCCGGAAAGGCAUUGGAAACUGGUUAACUUGAGUGCAGUAGAGGUAAGUGGAACUCCAUGUGUAGCGGUGGAAUGCGUAGAUAUAUGGAAGAACACCAGCGGCGAAGGCGGCUUACUGGACUGUAACUGACGUUGAGGCUCGAAAGUGUGGGUAGCAAACAGGAUUAGAUACCCUGGUAGUCCACACCGUAAACGAUGAACACUAGGUGUUAGGAGGUUUCCGCCUCUUAGUGCCGAAGCUAACGCAUUAAGUGUUCCGCCUGGGGAGUACGACCGCAAGGUUGAAACUCAAAGGAAUUGACGGGGACCCGCACAAGCGGUGGAGCAUGUGGUUUAAUUCGAAGCAACGCGAAGAACCUUACCAGGUCUUGACAUCCUUUGAAGCUUUUAGAAAUAGAAGUGUUCUCUUCGGAGACAAAGUGACAGGUGGUGCAUGGUCGUCGUCAGCUCGUGUCGUGAGAUGUUGGGUUAAGUCCCGCAACGAGCGCAACCCUUAUUGUUAGUUGCCAGCAUUCAGAUGGGCACUCUAGCGAGACUGCCGGUGACAAACCGGAGGAAGGCGGGGACGACGUCAGAUCAUCAUGCCCCUUAUGACCUGGGCUACACACGUGCUACAAUGGCGUAUACAACGAGUUGCCAACCUGCGAAGGUGAGCUAAUCUCUUAAAGUACGUCUCAGUUCGGACUGCAGUCUGCAACUCGACUGCACGAAGUCGGAAUCGCUAGUAAUCGCGGAUCAGCACGCCGCGGUGAAUACGUUCCCGGGUCUUGUACACACCGCCCGUCACACCAUGGAAGUUUGUAAUGCCCAAAGCCGGUGGCCUAACCGUAAGGAGGGAACCGUCUAAGGC